rnacentral:rRNA from 1 species
GACGAACGCUGGCGGCGUGCUUAACACAUGCAAGUCGAACGGAAAGGCCCAGCUUGCUGGGUGCUCGAGUGGCGAACGGGUGAGUAACACGUGGGUGAUCUGCCCCUAACUUCGGGAUAAGCUUGGGAAACUGGGUCUAAUACCGGAUAGGACAAUCGUUUAGUGUCGGUUGUGAAAGUUUUUUCGGUUAGGGAUGAGCCCGCGGCCUAUCAGCUUGUUGGUGGGGUAAUGGCCUACCAAGGCGUCGACGGGUAGCCGGCCUGAGAGGGUGGACGGCCACAUUGGGACUGAGAUACGGCCCAGACUCCUACGGGAGGCAGCAGUGGGGAAUAUUGCACAAUGGGCGCAAGCCUGAUGCAGCGACGCCGCGUGGGGGAUGACGGCCUUCGGGUUGUAAACCUCUUUCGACAGGGACGAAGCUUUGGUGACGGUACCUGUAUAAGAAGCACCGGCUAACUACGUG